UACAGAGGGGGCAAGCGUUAUUCGGAAUUAUUGGGCGUAAAGGGCGCGUAGGCGGCCAUUCAAGUGACGGGUGAAAGCCCUCGGCUUAACCGAGGAACUGCCUGUCAGACUGGAUGGCUUGAGACCGGGAGAGGUGAGUGGAAUUCCCAGUGUAGCGGUGAAAUGCGUAGAUAUUGGGAGGAACACCAGUGGCGAAGGCGGCAUACUGGACCACCACUGACGCUGAUGCGCGAAAGCCAGGGGAGCAAACGGGG
rnacentral:rRNA from 1 species